UGCAUCGGCCGGGAAUCGAACCCUGGCCGCCCGCGUGGCAGGCGAGCAUUCUACCACUGAAUCACCGAUGG
rnacentral:tRNA from 1 species